rnacentral:rRNA from 1 species
UAGGGAAUCUUCCACAAUGGACGCAAGUCUGAUGGAGCAACGCGCGUGAGUGAAGAAGGUUUCGGACCGUAAAGCUCUGUUGUUGGUGAAGAAAGGAUAGAGGUAGUAACUGGCCUUUAUUUGACGGUAAUCAACCAGAAAAGUCACGGCUAACUACGUGCCAGCAGCCGCGGUAAAUACGUAGGUGGCAAGCGUUGUCCGGAUUUAUUGGGCGUAAAAGCGAGCGCAGGCGGAAGAAUAAGUCUGAUGUGAAAGCCCUCGGCUUAAACCGAGGAAUUGCAUCGGAAACUGU